rnacentral:rRNA from 1 species
UACAGAGGUCUCGAGCGUUAGGCGGAAUCACUGGGCUUAAAGCGUGUGUAGGCGGAUCGUUAAGUGCCUUGUGAAAUCCCACGGCUUAACCGUGGAACUGCUUGGCAUACUGGCGGUCUUGAGCAACCUAGGGGCGAGCGGAACAAAUGGUGGAGCGGUGAAAUGCGUAGAUAUCAUUUGGAACGCCAAUGGUGAAAACAGCUCGCUGGGGGUUUGCUGACGCUGAGACGACGAAAGCCAGGGGAGCAAACGGG